GUCUCUGUGGCGUAAUUGGUUAGCGCGUUCGGCUGUUAACCGAAAGGUUGCUGGUUCAAGCCCAGCCAGGGACG
rfam:Ciona savignyi cont_30127, whole genome shotgun sequence.